UUUUUUUUUUUUUUUGAGUUUUAGAAAGUUUUAAUAGUAGUGUUUUGUCAGAUAAGACAUUUUACAAAUAGAUAUGGGAAGCUACAAGAGCAUCAGUGCUGUUGUUUUAAUAGGCAGCACUACAGACUAGGCACCUUCCAUAUGAAAAGUUGACACUGUGCCUUGGGAGCCAAGGACACUGUGGUGCUAACAUAAGACUCGGUCUCCCUUAGACCUGGCUACCAUGUAUCAGAAAUACAAGGUACAUAUGCAUGCCACACUAUAGGGACAGCAGUAAUAAACUUGUACUGGGUCAUGACAGUGACCUUGAGCGAUAUGGAGAAUUGCAAAAGCUUUAUUUUAGAGAGGGAAAACUAAUCAACCACUCCAGUUUCUCUCACGUUGCACCUACAUGAACUCUUGCUGCUAAAAGCUGUGACCCUCAAAGAACUAAGUAGUAUAAAGCAGGCAAAAGACUAAAGGAUCAGGAUGCAUUAUUUAAUUAUGAUUCAUUGACUGAACUGUGUUGUUUUGAUACUCAUACCCUGUAGCAGAAAACACCUCUAAAUGCAUUCGCCUAAAUGAAUGAGUUGAAUCUACAUUGUUCUUCCUCAUAUUUGUGAAACAGUUAAAGUACCACAGAUCAGCUGCUGUGAAAUAACCAGUAUGGAUUUGGGUAUGUGAACACUUAGUGAGUAGGUAAGUGAUAAGGGCAGAUACUCCUUACUGCCUGAGGUGAUCUGGUGGUUGCAGCCUGCCUUAUUUCCCCAAAUAGGAUAAUCAUUCAUUCCAGUUAAUUAUUAUUUAUCAGAAUGUUUAUCAACAUGAUCUGUUUGGGUUCUUAUUUCUUAAGCUUCAAGCUAAAUCAGAAGAGGACAAACUUUUUUUAGCAGAGAAAUGAAGGACAUCUCCGUCAUUCAAGUUUCCCCUAGCCUUUUUAUUUUAUUUUUACUACAUCCAGGACUUUUACAGGCCAGUAUACUUGUCUUUAGUUCUAUUCUUGUUGCCAAGGCUUUUGGAAGCACUACGCUAGCCUAUACUACAACUGUAGUCCUUACCAAGUCAGGGAACAGUCUUUUUGAGGGACUAGUUGUUCCCUAGCUCAUCAGUUUCUUAAGAAUCACAUAAAAGUUAAUGUUUAAUCUCCCUUAAUAAAGCUGUCAGAGGUAAAUAUUACUUUACUACUUUCUUCUUAAGAACACCAGACACAUUCUGAGGACUACACAUCUAAGUGUAGUCAGCUCUUAAACUACUGUCCGUAUUCCAUAGGAGUAAAUCUUCCUCAAAAGGCUCUGACAAUGUGACUGGAGCUGGGGAUGGGAGCACAAAGGAAAACAAGGAGAGAACAGAACAAAAUCACCCUCCAACACCAAAGAAGCUUUCAUUCCUGACCUCAAACAUUGAGAACAGAGGAUUCUCCAUAUUACUUCAAAGCGCUUUCCUCUCCUAGCUGGUGUUCUACUUCCAGCCAUGGCUGAUUUUUGUUAUUUCAGAAGAAGGGAGAAAAACAAACAAUAUAUGUAGCCAAGUAUACACUGGAGGAAAGAGUCAUUCCAAUGCCUAUAGGAGGCUGAGAUACAACUAAGCCUAGAAUCCCAGCCUGAGCUGCAAUGGCACUUAAUACUGCAGUGUAUUUAUACCAUUGAAAAAUGCGUUUAAAGCAGACCCCCUAUUUUGAUCAGUCAGAAGGCACUAACGUUUAUUUUUACACAAGUUGCUAGACAGUUGAAAAUAUGGUCUACUUCAGCACGUUUCCUUUUCAAACCUGGAUACAAUCUUCCUUCCUGUGAUGACCUCUGUAGCUUCCACUGGUCAAGAUUCACCUCUGAAGAAGUCAGCUGUCUUCCUCCACUACUCAUUUACUAUGCCAUGAAAUUCUUCUGUAUGAAUGCACGAAUUGCAUUUCCAACAACGUGUCAAAGAGUAUUCCAAGACUGACAAACAGAUACAUAUACAACACAUUUAAUACAACAGUUUCAGGGCUAUCAGGAAAAGUGCACAGCCGUUUCUGUCUGCACAUAUUAACAUCCAAGUCAUCCAAGCACUUCUUCUGUGCCUCUGAGUCAUCUCGAUUGCUAUGGAUUACCAUCUCUCUGGAGAUUCAGGAUGGCAUUCCUAUUAUCCACUUAGCUACAUGCUCUUACUAUAUCAUCUACUUAACUUCAGCCAAUACUACCAGCUGCUGUUACUUUUGCUUUAUGAAUACUGCAGUUGUUACACAUCAACCUGAUAUUCUUGCCUUUCCCGAGAAGUUUAACAACAUUUGUAAGACAACCUGAAAUGGCAAAACCUAAGCGUUGAAAUUUGUCGACUAUAAUUUUGAUUUCUUGUUUAUCAGUAGGUAGAUUUUUUUUCCUUCAGUACUCAUAUAUAAAAUUUUUCCCCCACAAAAGCAACACUUGCUGCAGAACUAGAUCAGACGGUGAAUGUUCUUCACUUUCCAGUAUUUUAUGCAAUCGGUCCGUUCAGUGAUAACGCUCUCAGUUUCUCCACCCAUGUACCAAAAUACAUUAUUUAAAAGGUGUGACAAGGCUAUAGAAUGAGUCCCAACAGUUUAGUUUGCAUUCAGACAAGAAGUGAGUGCAAUAUCUAAAUUUUUAACAAAAUCAAUUUUGUAAGAGCCAGUCAGAUCAAAUGGAGAAAGGACUACAUAAAGAACAUGAAUCUCAGUGCAACAUAUUCUGCAUUCAGUUUCAAGAAGUUGUUCCAGAUUCAGAACAAGUCAGUCUAGUUUUAAUACAACCUACAAAGUGAUACCACCCUAUUAGGUUUUCCAUAAAAUCACUCUAUUACCCUCAAAUGCCAUUCUCUGCUUGGUGUCCUAUCUCCUAGGCUGAGUAUCUUUCCUGAAAAUACAAAGUUACUAUUUUAAAUUUUCUUACUGUUUUAAUAUUAUCUUCAUUGAACGUUUGACAAAAUUGCUCGAGUCUUUACCACGUGUUUGCACAGCAUAAACAUCUACUAAAUAGCUGCCAAAUUAUCUUACUAUUUAAAUGCCAGAAGAGCACAGCCAGAAGAUUUUCCAAUUAAAAAAAAAAAAAAAAAAAAA
ensembl:lncRNA